AGCACUUGGUGUGUGUGUGUUUGCUUAAUUUGUGAUGAAGCUUUACAGACAGGUGCAAACAGUAAAUCCUCUUUUGCAACCCAGAACUCGUUGCUGAUAUGUGAUUUUGGCACAUGUAAGAAGCAGUAUG
ensembl:snoRNA